UACAGAGGCCUCGAGCGUUAGGCGGAAUCACUGGGCUUAAAGCGUGUGUAGGCGGAUGCCUAAGUACCUUGUGAAAUCCCACGGCUCACCCGUGGAACGGCUGGGUAUACUGGGUGUCUUGAGCCACUUAGGGGCUGCCGGAACAAAUGGUGGAGCGGUGAAAUGCGUAGAUAUCAUUUGGAACGCCAACGGCGAAAGCAGGCAGCUGGGGAUGCACCGACGCUGAGACACGAAAGCCGGGGGAGCGAACGGG
rnacentral:rRNA from 1 species